UGGGGAAUAUUGCACAAUGGGCGCAAGCCUGAUGCAGCCAUGCCGCGUGUGUGAAGAAGGCCUUCGGGUUGUAAAGCACUUUCAGCGGGGAGGAAGGGAGUAAAGUUAAUACCUUUGCUCAUUGACGUUACCCGCAGAAGAAGCACCGGCUAACUCCGUGCCAGCAGCCGCGGUAAUACGGAGGGUGCAAGCGUUAAUCGGAAUUACUGGGCGUAAAGCGCACGCAGGCGGUUGAUUGAGUCAGAUGUGAAAUCCCCGGGCUUAACCCGGGAAUUGCAUCUGAUACUGGUCAGCUAGAGUCUUGUAGAGGGGGGUAGAAUUCCAUGUGUAGCGGUGAAAUGCGUAGAGAUGUGGAGGAAUACCGGUGGCGAAGGCGGCCCCCUGGACAAAGACUGACGCUCAGGUGCGAAAGCGUGGGGAGCAAACAGG
rnacentral:rRNA from 1 species